rnacentral:rRNA from 1 species
CCUACGGGAGGCAGCAGUGGGGAAUAUUGCACAAUGGGCGAAAGCCUGAUGCAGCAAUGCCGCGUGAGGGAUGUCGGCCUUCGGGUUGUAAACCUCUUUUAGUAGGGAAGAAGCGAAAGUGACGGUACCUGCAGAAAAAGCACCGGCUAACUACGUGCCAGCAGCCGCGGUAAUACGUGCCAGCAGCCGCGGUAAU